rfam:Camelus ferus unplaced genomic scaffold scaffold56579, whole genome shotgun sequence.
GGAGGUUACAGCUCAGUGGUAGAGCACAUGCUUAGCAUAGACAAGGUCCUGGGUUCAAUUCCCAGUACCUCCA